GCUGUGAUUGGAUAGUGGUUAGUACUCUGCGUUGUGGCCACAGCAAUGCCAAGUUGAAAUCUGGGUCACGACA